CCUUACCUACACUUGACAUGCCUUUUUUGGAUUUCAGAGAUGAUUUCCUUCGGUUCGGCCGGGAGUGCACAGGUGCUGCAUGGCUGUCGUCAGCUCGUGUCGUGAGAUGUUGGGUUAAGUCCCACAACGAGCGCAACCCCUAUUGUUAGUUGCCAUCAGGUUAUGCUGGGCACUCUAGCGAGACUGCCCGUGACAAGCGGGAGGAAGGCGGGGAUGACGUCAAGUCAUCAUGGCCCUUACGUGUAGGGCUAGAAACGUGCUACAAUGGUGGUGACAGUGGGCAGCGAGGCUGUAAGGCCAAGCCAAUCCUCAAAAACCAUCUCAGUUCAGAUUGUCCUCUGCAACUCGAGGGCAUGAAGUUGGAAUCGCUAGUAAUCGUGGAUCAGCAUGCCACGGUGAAUACGUUCCCGGGUCUUGUACACACCGCCU
rnacentral:rRNA from 1 species